rnacentral:lncRNA from 1 species
GGUGUCUGUAAGUAUAACAAAACUCAUAUUGCAGGCAAAAACCUGUGAAAAAUAGAUUUAAAAAAAAUGUGAAUUUUGUGACUGUACUAUUUAGUGUCAUUGUUUUAUAGAUACCAUAGUGAGAAAGGAUUCAUUUCGCAACACCUACGGCUUCCACUAGAUGUCAACGAUCUUUAUAAAGUUGUUUGAAGCGUCUAUGAUAAACAGAGAGCAAAUUAGAAUGCAGGGAAGUUGACAUGUCAUGACUUCAUUUUUUUGCGCCUGCGCAUAAAUCUGAGAAGCGUGAGUUUGUCAUUAAUUGUUUAUCAAGACAUAGGAUAGGUUGUGUGAAAAUAUUACUGAUGUUUAACGUUAAAAAUGGACCAAAAGAUUAAUGCUAAACAAGGUUUGACAUGUUUGAACGAACGUAAAUAGAUUAUUUACUAGGUUUUUUUAGCUUUUCGGCGUGAUUUUACAACCCCCCCCACCACGUUUUGUGGGAGCAUAAUGAACGCUAACUGCUUGGUGUUAUUUGGACAUAAAUUAUGAACUUUGUCAAAAGAAACCACAUUUGUUCCGGACCUGGGAAAUCCUGGCAGUGCCUUCUGAUGGAGAUAAUCAAAGACGCCACAGCCACGUUGAUGUCCAAAAGUAGAAUGGGGGCUAAUGACUGUUUCGUUCGGCAUUGAGGAGUACAUCACAUCAGUCACUGGCUUUAUCAAUAAGUGCAUCGAGGACGUCGUCCCCACAGUGGCUGUACGUAUAUACCCCAACCAGAAGCUAUGGAUUACAGGCAACAUUCGCACUGAGCUAAAGGGUAGAGCUGCCACUUUCAAGGUGCGGGACUCUAAUCCGGAAGCUUACAAGAAAUCCUGCUAUGCCCUGCGAUGAACCAUCAAACAGGCAAAGCGUCAAUACAGGGCUAAGAUUGAAUCAUACUACACCGGCUCCGACGCUCGUGUUAUAUGGCAGGGUUUGCAAACUAUUACAUACUACAAAGGGAAGCAAAGCCGCGAGCUGCCCAGUGACACGAACCUACCAGACGAGCUAAAUCACUUCUAUGCUCGCAUCGAGGCAAGC